UAAAUUUUAAGUUAAUAAAACUAAUAACCUUCAAAGUUAUAAAUAAAAAAAAAAAUUUUAAAUUUAA
rnacentral:tRNA from 1 species